rnacentral:rRNA from 1 species
GAAAAGAAACCAACAGGGAUUGCCCUAGUAACGGCGAGUGAAGCGGCAACAGCUCAAAUUUGAAAUCUGGCUUUCGGGCCCGAGUUGUAAUUUGUAGAGGAUGAUUUUGAUGCGGUGCCUUCCGAGUUCCCUGGAACGGGACGCCAUAGAGGGUGAGAGCCCCGUCUGGUUGGAUGCCAAAUCUCUGUAAAUCUCCUUCGACGAGUCGAGUAGUUUGGGAAUGCUGCUCUAAAUGGGAGGUAUAUGUCUUCUAAAGCUAAAUACCGGCCAGAGACCGAUAGCGCACAAGUAGAGUGAUCGAAAGAUGAAAAGCACUUUGAAAAGAGAGUUAAAAAGUACGUGAAAUUGUUGAAAGGGAAGCGUUUAUGACCAGACUUGGGCUUGGUUAAUCAUCUGGGGUUCUCUCCAGUGCACUUUUCCAGUCCAGGCCAGCAUCAGUUUUCGCCGGGGGAUAAAGGCUUCGGGAAUGUGGCUCCCCUCGGGGAGUGUUAUAGCCCGUUGUGUAAUACCCUGGCGGGGACUGAGGUUCGCGCUUCUGCAAGGAUGCUGGCGUAAUGGUCAUCAACGACCCGUCUUGAAACACGGACCAAGGAGUCGUCUUCGUAUGCGAGUGUUCGGGUGUCAAACCCCUACGCGUAAUGAAAGUGAACGCAGGUGAGAGCUUCGGCGCAUCAUCGACCGAUCCUGAUGUUCUCGGAUGGAUUUGAGUAAGAGCAUACGGGGCCGGACCCGAAAGAAGGUGAACUAUGCCUGUGUAGGGUGAAGCCAGAGGAAACUCUGGUGGAGGCUCGCAGCGGUUCUGACGUGCAAAUCGAU